rnacentral:snRNA from 1 species
GUGCUCACUGAAGCAGCACGUAGGAUAAAAUUGGACAUAUACAAAGAAGAUUAGAAUGGCCCCCGUGCAAAGAUGACUCCAAAAUUUGGGAAGUAUUCCAUAUUUUU